UACGUAGGGGGCAAGCGUUGUCCGGAAUCAUUGGGCGUAAAGCGCGCGUAGGCGGCCCGGUAAGUCCGUUGUAAAAGUCAAAGGCUCAACCUUUGAAAGCCGAUGGAUACUGCCGGGCUAGAGUCCGGAAGAGGCGAGUGGAAUUCCUGGUGUAGCGGUGGAAUGCGUAGAUAUCGGGAAGAAUACCGGUGGCGAAGGCGUUCUGCUGGGCCGUUGCUGACGCUGAGGCGCGACAGCGUGGGGAGCAAACAGG
rnacentral:rRNA from 1 species